GCAGGCUGAAUUUUUUGACCCUCUGUUGGAGAGGUGGAUGCUGUUUCUUCGGUGCCUUGUACUGACCUGAAUGCAAUGGAACGACUGGCUCGGCGACCUGUGGACUGUUAGCUGCGGUAAACUGGAAAUCAGAAAACAAGGUGAAUAUAAAGCGAGACAAGACAAGAAAAGCCAGCGCAAAAAGAAGAUCCACAAGAGAAAAAAAAAAUUCUUACCAGACAUUAUAGGAUUAUUUGGCUGUUAGCUACAGGAGAGAUGAUCGUGUGGCCUCAAGAAGUGAAUUUUAGUCUUCAGAUUUGUUCACAAGAGUGCAGUAUUUUUAAAAUUAUGCCAAUUUCUUCCCUGCUGUGCCUAUAUUUGGAUUACUCACAAACAAAAUUAUUGCACUAUAGCUUGGGAUAUAACUUAGAGUUUAGGAGCACACUUGCCGACCUUUUUAAAACCCCUACAAUCCAAUGAUUUGACAACGAAUGAUUGCGCGAUACUUUCAAUUUGAAUAUUCAAAGCCUAGACAAAAAGACUGCUCUCUUUUUGAUACACUGUGCAUUUCCACGUACUAAAGCCUUCAAUGGAAUAAAAUACAAUGUAAAAGUGUGGAACUUUAAGCAGAAUUUGGCACAUUUUCGUGAUUUUAGCAAUCUUUGCCAGAAGAACAUGGAGAGGGCCAAACAUGUCCAUAAUUUUCCAUCUGCCAGGGCCUUUUUGUCUCAAACCACCAUCAGUUUCACAAACAUGAUUGCAGGGGACGCACUGCAUCUUUGGAUAUACUUUAGCUUCCAGUUUUACUGUAAAAUGUACUAUUCAUUCACAUUUUGGUGUCUAACAUGGCAGACUGUGGGCGUGGCCUAGACCAAAACUUCAUUCCAUCACACAACUGGAACUGAAACAGCAAGUGGUGCCUCUCUCGUGUUUCCGCAACUGCCUUUCACUGCACAGAGUCUUUAUUAAUGUGCGUUUCUUACUAAAUUCAUUAAUUUCAGGCUGGGAUGUUGGUGAAGGCCUCUAGACCACAAACCAGAGACUGCCUGCCGUUUAAUCCUCCACCUGCAGCGACUGGUCACCAUUCUCAUUUGAUCCAUGUGAAUCCGUUUAUAAAUUUCUAAUUUUUUUUGAAGAAAUUGACCAGAUUCCAGGGCACAGACAACAGAACGGUGUGCUUUAAAUGCAUUGUGUCAGUGUUCACAGUUUUUUUUUUAAUUUUGUUGUGGUAUAUGAUAAAACUGUUCUAAAGAUGA